rnacentral:tRNA from 1 species
GCCCCGGUAGCUCAGUGGAUAGAGCGUCUGCCUCCGGAGCAGAAGGUCGCAGGUUCGAAUCCUGUCCGGGGCG